rnacentral:rRNA from 1 species
GUGGGGAAUCUUCCGCAAUGGACGAAAGUCUGACGGAGCAACGCCGCGUGAGUGAUGAAGGUUUUCGGACUGUAAAGCUCUGUUGUUUAGGACGAAAGUGCCUGUUGCAAAUAGUUACAGGUAUUGACGGUACUGAACGAGGAAGCCACGGCUAACUACGUGCCAGCAGCCGCGGUAAUACGUAGGUGGCAAGCGUUGUCCGGAAUUAUUGGGCGUAAAGAGCAUGUAGGCGGGAAUCUAAGUCUGUUGUGAAAAUGCGGGGCUCAACCCCGUAUUGCGAUGGAAACUGGGUUUCUUGAGUGCAGGAGAGGAAAGGGGAAUUCCCAGUGUAGCGGUGAAAUGCGUAGAUAUUGGGAGGAACACCAGUGGCGAAGGCGCCUUUCUGGACUGUGUCUGACGCUGAGAUGCGAAAGCCAGGGUAGCGAACGGGAUUAGAAACCCUUGUAGUCC